rnacentral:tRNA from 1 species
GCGGGUGUACGCCACCGGCAGACCAUCGGGCUCAUAACCCGAGAGCAGCAGGUUCAAUUCCUGCCCCCGCA